rnacentral:rRNA from 1 species
UCAGGAUGAACGCUGGCGGUAUGCUUAACACAUGCAAGUCGAACGGUCUCUUCGGAGAUAGUGGCGGACGGGUGAGUAACGCGUGAGAAUCUGCCUCUAGGUCGGGGACAACAGUUGGAAACGACUGCUAAUCCCGGAUGAGCCGUAAGGUAAAAGAUUUAUUGCCUAGAGAAGAGCUCGCGUCCGAUUAGUUAGUUGGUGGGGUAAGAGCCUACCAAGACAGCGAUCGGUAACUGGUCUGAGAGGAUGACCAGUCACACUGGGACUGAGACACGGCCCAGACUCCUACGGGAGGCAGCAGUGGGGAAUUUUCCGCAAUGGGCGAAAGCCUGACGGAGCAAUACCGCGUGCGGGAGGAAGGCCCUUGGGUCGUAAACCGCUUUUAUCAGGGAAGAAGCUCUGACGGUACCUGAUGAAAAAGCCUCGGCUAACUCCGUGCCAGCAGCCGCGGUAAUACGGAGGAGGCAAGCGUUAUCCGGAAUUAUUGGGCGUAAAGCGUCCGCAGGUGGAAUUGUAAGUCUGCUGUCAAAGACGGAAGCUCAACUUCCGAUAGGCAGUGGAAACUGCAAAACUAGAGUACAGUAGGGGUAGAGGGAAUUCCCAGUGUAGCGGUGAAAUGCGUAGAGAUUGGGAAGAACACCGGUGGCGAAAGCGCUCUACUGGGCUGUAACUGACACUGAGGGACGAAAGCUAGGGGAGCGAAUGGGAUUAGAUACCCCAGUAGUCCUAGCCGUAAACGAUGGAAACUAGGCGUGGCUUGUAUCGACCCGAGCCGUGCCGAAGCUAACGCGUUAAGUUUCCCGCCUGGGGAGUACGCACGCAAGUGUGAAACUCAAAGGAAUUGACGGGGGCCCGCACAAGCGGUGGAGUAUGUGGUUUAAUUCGAUGCAACGCGAAGAACCUUACCAGGGCUUGACAUCUGGCGAAUCUUUCCGAAAAGAGAGAGUGCCUUAGGGAGCGCCAAGACAGGUGGUGCAUGGCUGUCGUCAGCUCGUGUCGUGAGAUGUUGGGUUAAGUCCCGCAACGAGCGCAACCCUCGUCCUUAGUUGCUAGCGAUUUAAUCGCGCACUCUAGGGAGACUGCCGGGGAAAACUCGGAGGAAGGUGGGGAUGACGUCAAGUCAGCAUGCCCCUUACGUCCUGGGCUACACACGUACUACAAUGGUCGAGACAAAGGGCAGCAAACUGGCAACAGCAAGCGAAUCCCAGCAAACUCGGUCACAGUUCGGAUUGCAGGCUGAAACUCGCCUGCAUGAAGGAGGAAUCGCUAGUAAUCGCAGGUCAGCAUACUGCGGUGAAUCCGUUCCCGGGCCUUGUACACACCGCCCGUCACACCAUGGAAGCUGGCAACAUCCGAAGUCGUUACUCCAACCUUUAGAGGAGGAGGGCGCCGAAGGUGGGGCUAGUGACUGGGGUGAAGUCGUAACAAGGUAGCCGUACCGGAAGGUGUGGCUGGAUCACCUCCUUUA